UGGCGGCGAGAGCGCGGUGGUCCCACCUGACCCCAUGCCGAACUCAGAAGUGAAACGCCGUAGCGCCGAUGGUAGUGUGGGGUCUCCCCAUGCGAGAGUAGGGAACUGCCAGGCA
rnacentral:rRNA from 3 species